UACGUAGGGGGCAAGCGUUAUCCGGAAUUAUUGGGCGUAAAGAGUACGUAGGUGGCAACCUAAGCGCAGGGUUUAAGGCAAUGGCUCAACCAUUGUUCGCCCUGCGAACUGGGAUGCUUGAGUGCAGGAGAGGAAAGCGGAAUUCCUAGUGUAGCAGUGAAAUGCGUAGAUAUUAGGAGGAACACCAGUGGCGAAGGCGGCUUUCUGGACUGUAACUGACACUGAGGUACGAAAGCGUGGGGAGCAAACAGG
rnacentral:rRNA from 1 species